UGGGGGAUAGUGAGGGGAUAAAUUUUCUUAAGGAACUCGGCAAAAUCCCAAUGGCCCACCAGGGCAUAUUGGAACACGGGCCUCGACUGUUUACCAAAAACAUAGCCCUCGGCUAAUAUGAAAAUAGAUGUAUAGAGGGUGAUGCCUGCCCAAUGGUUGUAUCUAAAAGCGGUUGAUAAAAGUCGACCUCGUAAGGACAAUUGAAUGGCCGCGGUAACACUGACCGUGAUAAUGUAGCGUAAUCAAUAGCCAAUUAAUUGUUGGCCAGUAUGAAUGGCGCCACGAAGGCCCCACUGUCUUAAGGAAAUUCCCAGUGAAAUUGAAUUCGUAGUGAAGAUGCUACGUCCAAUUUGUUAGACGAAAAGACCCCGUUGAGCUUUACUGGGGCACUUACACGGCCCCGGCCUUCCCGUGUCCGGGAACCGGCCGAAUUUAAAUGGGUGGUUUAGACUAUGUGGCAGCCCCCCGCCGGGGCAGAUGAAACCCCACUCCCCCAUGUCAAAGGGGCUAACCCCCUCUUGGGGGGGAGAGUGUAAGUAGGACAGUUUGGUUGGGGCGACCGCCUUUUAAAGAGUAACGAAGGUGCGCUUAAGGUGCGCAAUUAAUGACUGAAGCCUGACUGCGAGGGGGACACCCCGAGCAGACACCCCUAAGCCCGCCCGAAGGGCGGCGGUGGGGUGGGCCAUAGUGACCCGUUAAUUUAGAGUGGAAUAGUUAACGAUCAACGAAUAAAAG
rnacentral:rRNA from 1 species